AUUGAACGCUGGCGGCAGGCCCAACACAUGCAAGUCGAGCGGUAGCACAGAGAGCUUGCUCUCGGGUGACGAGCGGCGGACGGGUGAGUAAUGUCUGGGAAACUGCCUGAUGGAGGGGGAUAACUACUGGAAACGGUAGCUAAUACCGCAUAACGUCGCAAGACCAAAGAGGGGGACCUUCGGGCCUCUUGCCAUCAGAUGUGCCCAGAUGGGAUUAGCUAGUAGGUGGGGUAACGGCCCACCUAGGCGACGAUCCCUAGCUGGUCUGAGAGGAUGACCAGCCACACUGGAACUGAGACACGGUCCAGACUCCUACGGGAGGCAGCAGUGGGGAAUAUUGCACAAUGGGCGCAAGCCUGAUGCAGCCAUGCCGCGUGUAUGAAGAAGGCCUUCGGGUUGUAAAGUACUUUCAGCGGGGAGGAAGGUGUUGAGGUUAAUAACCUCAGCAAUUGACGUUACCCGCAGAAGAAGCACCGGCUAACUCCGUGCCAGCAGCAGCCGCCG
rnacentral:rRNA from 1 species